rnacentral:lncRNA from 1 species
CAUGUAAGCGACGAAGGCGAAAGCAGAUUUGCAUGUGUGUAAGAAAGAGGUCAUAUGAACCGGAGAACAAGUGGUAUGGAAGAGCUCAUUAUUAAUAGAUCUUACAGAAAAACGAGUUGCGAUGUAUAAAUGCAACCUCGUUUCACAAAGGAUCUUGUUCUGAACUUGUUUGAUCCUUACAGUACAAGUCUAGUUCUUUCCAUGGAGAUGUAAUUGUUCUCAGCUUCUGGUACUCUGUUUUGAUCACUAUCGGCUAUCAUUGAGAUCAGUGCAACCUCGUUUCACAAAGGAUCUUGUUCUGAACUUGUUUGAUGCUUACAGUACAAAUCUAGUUCUUUCCAUGGAGAUGUAAUUGUUCUCAGCUUCUGGUACUCUGUUUUGAUCACCAUUGGCUAUCAUUGAGACCAGCGGGGGAUUCAUGUGUGGAUUACACACUGUGCUUCUCCAAGAUCGGAUUCCUAUCUAAUUAACAGGAAAUCGGUCUUCAUAGCUAGUUAUCAGAUUGGGACCCCC